rnacentral:rRNA from 1 species
UGGGGAAUAUUGCACAGUGGGGGAAAGCCAUCGAUGCAGCGACGCCGCGUGAGCGAUGAAGUAUUUCGGUAUGUAAAGCUCUAUCAGCAGGGAAGAAGAAAGACGGUACCUGACUAAGAAGCACCGGCUAAAUACGUGCCAGCAGCCGCGGUAAUACGUAUGGUGCAAGCGUUAUCCGGAUUUACUGGGUGUAAAGGGAGCGUAGACGGCUAGGCAAGUCUGAUGUGAAAAUCCGGGGCUCAACCCCGGACUGCAUUGGAAACUGUUAAGCUAGAGUGUCGGAGAGGUAAGUGGAAUUCCUAGUGUAGCGGUGAAAUGCGUAGAUAUUAGGAGGAACACCAGUGGCGAAGGCGGCUUACUGGACGAUGACUGACGUUGAGGCUCGAAAGCGUGGGGAGCAAAACAGGAUUAGAUACCC